GAUGAACGCUGACAGAAUGCUUAACACAUGCAAGUCUACUUGAACUUCGGUUUGGGUGGCGGACGGGUGAGUAACGCGUAAAGAACUUGCCUCACAGUUAGGGACAAUAUUUGGAAACGAAUGCUAAUACCUGAUAUUAUGAUUUUAGGGCAUCCUAGGAUUAUGAAAGCUAUAUGUGCUGUGAGAGAGCUUUGCGUCCCAUUAGCUAGUUGGAGAGGUAACGGCUCACCAAGGCGAUGAUGGGUAGCCGGCCUGAGAGGGUGAACGGCCACAAGGGGACUGAGACACGGCCCUUACUCCUACGGGAGGCAGCAGUGGGGAAUAUUGGACAAUGGACCAAAAGUCUGAUCCAGCAAUUCUGUGUGCACGAUGACGUUUUUCGGAAUGUAAAGUGCUUUCAGUUGGGAAGAAAAAAAUGACGGUACCAACAGAAGAAGUGACGGCUAAAUACGUG
rnacentral:rRNA from 1 species